rnacentral:lncRNA from 1 species
UUUCUUCAAACCCCAAAUCCUUAAUAAAAUCUUUUUCUUUCAGUUCUUAUUUCCUUCCCCUUUCUUUCUCUUCUAUCUUCUCUUUCUUCUCUUAUAUAUUCUGCUAUUAUUCUCUCUCUUUUUCAUUUUUUCCUUCUCAUUCUAUUCUCUUCUGAAUUUGUUUUCUUUUUCUUUUUUCACUUUGGGGGACCAUGGCUAUAAGGUCCCCCCAAACCCCGAACUCACAAGACCCUUAAGGGUCUCGUCCCAUCACCACGCAGCAACAAUCGUAGGAAAGUCAAGGUUGACACCGAUCUGCCUAUCAGGACGACUUCACCAAUGCCGCCUGACAUGCAACCUUCACCAUAUUUUUUUUUUCUGGUUUUCCAUUUGUAUUUGUUUUGUAUUUGUAUUUGGGUUCUAUAUUCGGGUAUUUUGGUGCCGCCAAUGAAGAAGGCUUGACCAAAAAAAUUAUUUUUUUAACUAAUUACUAACGGUUGUCAGAAAAUAGGGGUGUUGCAGAGGCAAACACCCCAUUCCUAUAAUUAAUGUGGGUGGAAUACCAUUUUCAAAAUUUUUAAAUUUUUUUAUAUUAUAUACGUAAAAAAAAGCCUAAUUUACCUUUAAUUUUACUUUCUGGUGCAAAAGUAAAAUUGUCUGUUGGGCUUAAAUAUAUCCAGAAAUCCAGACUGGUUGCAAAAGUAACAAAAAGUGUAAAAUUAAUAUCAAAUUUUAUUUAUUACAUAUAUUAUAAUAGUUAGACAUAAAAUAAAGAAUAGCUAAUACGAAUUUAAAAUUGAAAUUAGAAAUACG